rnacentral:rRNA from 1 species
AUUGAACGCUGGCGGCAGGCCUAACACAUGCAAGUCGAGCGGAUGAAGGGAGCUUGCUCCUGGAUUCAGCGGCGGACGGGUGAGUAAUGCCUAGGAAUCUGCCUGGUGGUGUGUGAUAACGUCCGGAAACGGGCGCUAAUACCUCAUACUGCGUGAGGGAGAAAGUGGGGGAUCUUCGGACCUGACGCUAUCAGGUUAUCCUAGGUUGAAUUGUCUAGUUGGUGGGGUAAAGGAGUACCAAGGCGACGAUACGUAACUGGGCUGAGAGGAUGAUCAGUCACACCGGAACUGAGACACGGUACAGACUAGUCUGGGAGGGAGCGGUGGGGAAUAUUGGACAAUGGGAGGAGCCCUGACCUAACCCUGCCGAGUGUCUGAAGAAGGUCUUCGGAUUGUAAAGGUAAUCAACUUGGGAGGAAGGGCAGUAAGUUAAUCCCUUGCUGCUUUGAAGUUACCAAAAGAAUAAGCACCGGCUAACUCCGUG